rnacentral:sRNA from 1 species
CACAUCUUUUUACUGAUGAGACUAGCAUCAGAUUUUGUCACAUUUAGAGUCAUAGUCUAGCAAACCCUGACAUUGUCAUUCUCUGGACAACAAGCCUGGUAUUCUGUAAUGCCUUCAAGUGUUUUAGAGUGUUAUUCCCAUAAUAUGUAACUAUUACUUCAAAUAAACAUUCGUAUUUGCUGAUCUAUUUUCUUAAGAACAAGAGAGUGUCUCUGGAUUCUAUUGUAGUGUGAAUUCAGAGAAAGAAACGAGCUCUGACAGUGCAGCCUAGGGAAGAAGACUCCAGUCUGUUACUGUUUACUCAUUGAAAACGCAUACCAAAUCCUACACAAGUUCUUUAAAGCUGCAUAGCUCCCAAGAAAUCCAUACUGGGCUUUAUAAAAGAGGUGCUGGUUGACAGAAAGACAGAAAAACUGAGAAAGUGAUUUUAAAAUAUAACAUGAAGUUAAGUGAAGAUACAGGAACCCAGGAUAGCUAUAUAAGAAAAAAAGUGCACUGUAUGCUAUGAUUUGGGCCUUUAUGUGACAAUAUUUAUUUCUAGUUGGGGUACUACUGAACAAACUUUUGGAGAGAAGCAGGCCGUAAGAACUCUAGAAGUCUACAGAAGUUGUGAUGAGAAGUUAGGAGUGGCGAUGAGCAAGUCAAUGAAUUGUCUAAUGAAGCCUAAUGGAAGCGUCAGUGGGGAGUGGUUUAAUUAACUGAGGAAACUUGUCUCUGGCUGCCAAACUCAAGACUGUAGAAUGAAGAGGCAUUGUGUUCACAGAGGUGAGUGGGAAACACCACCAAGCCAGAUGUCCUCCUUGGUCCUCAGCCAUGAGUGGGGCCGUGCUCCUCCGUCUGUCAGCCUCCUGCACGUCAUCAAGAAGAUAAGGGUGAAGGAGGCAGGCAUCAAAGUUUGUGUGGCCGCAGUGGUGAUGGAGACAGCCAGAAGUGAAAGACUAGCCAUUAAAAGAGAGACUGAAAGUAAAUGGUGUAGAAUCCACACAGGGCAAUGAGAAGAACAGGGACCAGAGCUGUCUGGCAUCAGGCUGCAUGCCCUUUGGAGAGUGGCGGGAUGCCUAGGAGAGUGCAGACUUCAGUGCUCAGCCCACAGAUCAGAAGUCCAAUCUCUCCAUGUACUUCCUCAUGGAUGAAGUUCCCACAGCCAAGACCAAAUUUACUCUUCUGACUUUGGGAGAAUUAGAAUGGUGCAAAGCAACAGAACGGAAAGAGAGCUGGCUCCUCUCUCCAGUCAUUUAUCUCCAGUCUUAAUGUCGUUUCCUCACUGGGGCAGUAGUCUAUGCAGAAGAAGGUUCUAGCAAUGAUCUACAGCUCCACAGGUUUUUCACGGCAGAUGUAUGCGGUGACCAGUUGUCUUCAUCAUCCUUCUCCGAACAUAAACUUCACCUUAAACUUCAUGCCUGUACUCCAUGGACUUCCAUCUGGUGAGAAAGGUACUGACGGAUUUUCCAGCCAACAAAACGAAAAGCAGUGAUUCGCUGAGCAGAUUGUGGUUUUACUCAAAAGAAAAAAAAGAAGAAGAAGAAGAAGGGGCCAGCUGUGUGCACCUACUCAGAGGAACCAAAACAGAGAGGUGGGAAAAGUGGGCUGUCAAGCGCUCCAGGCGAUUCUGUAGAGAAGCCAGAAAAUAUCACUUCAUUGAAGAAGAUCUCCAAGAUAGGGAAAGAAGAUGGGAGAGGCCAAAAGG